UACGUAGGGGGCAAGCGUUGUCCGGAUUUACUGGGCGUAAAGGGCUCGUAGGCGGCCAACUAAGUCGGAUGUGAAAUCCCCAGGCUUAACCUGGGAACUGCAUCCGAUACUGGAUGGCUUGAAUCCGGGAGAGGGAUGCGGAAUUCCAGGUGUAGCGGUGAAAUGCGUAGAUAUCUGGAGGAACACCGGUGGCGAAGGCGGCAUCCUGGACCGGCAUUGACGCUGAGGAGCGAAAGCCAGGGGAGCAAACGGG
rnacentral:rRNA from 1 species